ensembl:lncRNA
CUGCAACCUUCCUCUAAUCUUUCUACAGUUUCACCCGGUUGUGGUCACACCUCACAAUGACCUUGGCACUGCGCCCUGCCUGCCUGGAACUCCUCUUGGCUGCCUCCCAGACACAGAGUGAAGAGCUGUGGUCAUUGGGAGGCCCUGGUCUCUUCCUUCCAUUUCCUUGGCCAUAGGUUCUUUGAUCCUCAAAGCUGUUUUCAGACGGCCAGCUGGGGACUGGAGGGCAGAUGCUGGAGCCCCUGACACCUUCCUGGGACAGGUGGGCCUCUAAGGGAG